UACGUAGGGCGCAAGCGUUAUCCGGAAUUAUUGGGCGUAAAGAGCUCGUAGGCGGUUUGUCGCGUCUGCCGUGAAAGUCCAGGGCUCAACCCUGGGAUGCCGGUGGAUAGUGUCGGGCUCGAGUCCGGAAGAGGAGUGUGGAAUUCCUGGUGUAGCGGUGAAAUGCGCAGAUAUCAGGAGGAAGACCAGUGGCGAAGGCGGAUCUCUGGACAGCUCCUGACGCUGAGGCGCGAAGGCUAGGGGAGCAAACGGG
rnacentral:rRNA from 1 species